rnacentral:rRNA from 1 species
AAUCAACGCUGGCGGCGUGCCUCAGACGUGCAAGUCGAACGAUUAAAGCUCUCUUCGGAGAGUGUAUAGAGUGGCGCACGGGUGAGUAACACGUAAGUAAUCUACCCUCGAGUGGGGAGUAACGUCCGGAACGGACGCUAAUACCGCAUAAUGCAGCGGCACCGCAAGGUGACAGUUGUUAAAGAUUUAUCGCUUGAGGAGGAGCUUGCGGCAGAUUAGUCAGUUGGUAAGGUAAUGGCUUACCAAGGCUACGAUCUGUAACCGGUCUAAGAGGACGGUCGGUCACACUGACACUGAAUAACGGGUCAGACUCCUACGGGAGGCAGCAGUCGGGGAAUUUUGGGCAAUGGGCGAAAGCCUGACCCAGCAACGCCGCGUGAAGGAUGAAGUAUUUUCGGUAUGUAAACUUUACGAAAGAAUGGGAAGAAUAAAUAGACGGGUACCAUUUAUAAGGUCCGGCUAACUACGUGCCAGCCGCCGCCGUAA